AGUGUUUUGAGUAUCAUUGUUGAUGAAAUGCAUUGAUUUUGGUUUAUCAUUCUUUGUUAUCUAUAUAAAAGCGGGAAGAUUCAAUAAUUUGAGCCCCGCUAACUUUGCCAUGGUAAAAAUAUUUUUAUUUGCUUAACACAUUUUGGUAUAAGUAUGCUUGAAAUGACAAAUUGGUCAGCCCAAAACUAUUGCUUUAUGUCUAUUGUCUUUUGAAAAA
rnacentral:misc_RNA from 1 species